GAUGAACGCUGGCGGUGUGCCUAAUACAUGCAAGUCGAGCGAACAGAUGAGGAGCUUGCUCCUCUGACGUUAGCGGCGGACGGGUGAGUAACACGUGGAUAACCUACCUAUAAGACUGGGAUAACUUCGGGAAACCGGAGCUAAUACCGGAUAAUAUAUUGAACCGCAUGGUUCAAUAGUGAAAGACGGUUUUGCUGUCACUUAUAGAUGGAUCCGCGCCGCAUUAGCUAGUUGGUAAGGUAACGGCUUACCAAGGCGACGAUGCGUAGCCGACCUGAGAGGGUGAUCGGCCACACUGGAACUGAGACACGGUCCAGACUCCUACGGGAGGCAGCAGUAGGGAAUCUUCCGCAAUGGGCGAAAGCCUGACGGAGCAACGCCGCGUGAGUGAUGAAGGUCUUCGGAUCGUAAAACUCUGUUAUUAGGGAAGAACAAAUGUGUAAGUAACUAUGCACGUCUUGACGGUACCUAAUCAGAAAGCCACGGCUAACUACGUG
rnacentral:rRNA from 1 species